ACGGCCGUGUGCAUGAGGCCUAAUUUACAUAUUGUUCAGUCAGUGAUUUUGAGGCAUAACCAGGUGCGUCUCUAAAUAAAGAACAGGGCUCAUGCGCACAAACAUAUUUUUUGUCCACAUCCGAUACGCAUUUUUUCCAGGUUGGAUGCGGACCCAUUCACUUCAAUUAAUCCGCAAAAGAUGCGGAGAGCACACCGUGUGCUGUCCGCAUUCGCAUGUCUGUUCAGUGGCACCUUGCCUUGGACAAAGAUGGGAAUGUUCUAUAGAGGCCAGGACGUUCCCUUCUGCAAAAUGUGAAACGCACA